rnacentral:lncRNA from 1 species
UGAUGUAAAUUUUUAAUAUUUAAUUUUUAAUUUGAAUUUAAAUUAAUAUAUUAUAAAGAUAAUGUUAGUAUAUUAAUUUGAUUACGUUUUUUAUAUCCACCUGAACCAAACACCGACAAUGAGAAUGAUUUAUUCCGAUUCCGAUUCAGGUGAUGAAUCAAACAGAAUUAGAUAAUGAGUCAUUCCGAUUCCGAUUCCAGCUUAUUUUGAUUCCGAUUCCGAUUCCGACUUCGACUUAGAACCAAACAUGCCCUAUAUGUUUUCAGGGACGCCGUAUGAAAUUAACUCUUAAAAAUUAA